UCUGCCCUUCACUCUGGGACAAGCCCUGGAAACGGGGUCUAAUACCGGAUACCACUCUCGCAGGCAUCUGUGAGGGUUGAAAGCUCCGGCGGUGAAGGAUGAGCCCGCGGCCUAUCAGCUUGUUGGUGAGGUAACGGCUCACCAAGGCGACGACGGGUAGCCGGCCUGAGAGGGCGACCGGCCACACUGGGACUGAGACACGGCCCAGACUCCUACGGGAGGCAGCAGUGGGGAAUAUUGCACAAUGGGCGAAAGCCUGAUGCAGCGACGCCGCGUGAGGGAUGACGGCCUUCGGGUUGUAAACCUCUUUCAGCAGGGAAGAAGCGAAAGUGACGGUACCUGCAGAAGAAGCGCCGGCUAACUACGUGCCAGCAGCCGCGGUAAUACGUAGGGCGCAAGCGUUGUCCGGAAUUAUUGGGCGUAAAGAGCUCGUAGGCGGCUUGUCACGUCGGGUGUGAAAGCCCGGGGCUUAACCCCGGGUCUGCAUUCGAUACGGGCUAGCUAGAGUGUGGUAGGGGAGAUCGGAAUUCCUGGUGUAGCGGUGAAAUGCGCAGAUAUCAGGAGGAACACCGGUGGCGAAGGCGGAUCUCUGGGCCAUUACUGACGCUGAGGAGCGAAAGCGUGGGGAGCGAACAGGAUUAGAUACCCUGGUAGUCCACGCCGUAAACGGUGGGAACUAGGUGUUGGCGACAUUCCACGUCGUCGGUGCCGCAGCUAACGC
rnacentral:rRNA from 1 species